GGAAUAUUGGACAAUGGGCGAAAGCCUGAUCCAGCAAUGCCGCGUGAGUGAUGAAGGCCUUAGGGUUGUAAAGCUCUUUUACCCGGGAUGAUAAUGACAGUACCGGGAGAAGAAGCCCCGGCUAAUUCCGUGCCAGCAGCCGCGGUAAUACGGAAGGGGCUAGCGUUGUUCGGAAUCACUGGGCGUAAAGCGCGCGUAGGCGGUCGGUCAAGUGCGGCGUGAAAGUCCUGGGCUCAACCCGGGGACGGCGCUGCGGACUGUCCGGCUGGAGUCCGGAAGAGGGUGGUGGAAUUCCGAGUGUAGAGGUGAAAUUCGUAGAUAUUCGGAGGAACACCGGUGGCGAAGGCGGCCACCUGGUCCGGUACUGACGCUCAAGCGCGAAAGCGUGGGGAGCAAA
rnacentral:rRNA from 1 species